UACGGAGGGUGCAAGCAUUAAUCGGAUUUAUUGGGCGUAAAGGGCGCGUAGGCGGAAAUGAAAGUCAGAUGUGAAAUCCCGGGGCUCAACCUCGGGACAGCAUUUGAAACUCCAUUUCUAGAGGGUAGACGGGGAAAAUGGAAUUCCACAAGUAGCGGUGAAAUGCGUAGAUAUGUGGAGGAACACCAGUGGCGAAGGCGAUUUUCUAGUUUAUACCUGACGCUAAUGCGCGCAAGCAAGGGGAGCAAACAGG
rnacentral:rRNA from 1 species